rnacentral:rRNA from 1 species
AACGAACGCUGGCGGCGUGCCUAACACAUGCAAGUCGAGCGCGAAAAGGGCAACCUGAGUAGAGCGGCGCACGGGUGCGUAACACGUGGGUAAUCUGCCUUAGAGUUGAGGAUAACCUUCCGAAAGGUUGGCUAAUACUCGGUAAGCUUACGGUGUCUUCGGACGCUGUGGGAAAAGUAGGCCUCUGUUUACAAGCUUACGCUCUGAGAUGAGCCCGCGGCCCAUCAGCUAGUUGGCGGUGUAACGGACCACCAAGGCAACGACGGGUAGCUGGUCUGGGAGGACGAUCAGCCACACUGGAACUGAGACACGGUCCAGACUCCUACGGGAGGCAGCAGUGGGAAUUUUCCACAAUGGGCGAAAGCCUGAUGGAGCAACGCCGCGUGUGUGAUGAAGGUUUUCGGAUCGUAAAGCACUUUCGACUGGGACGAAAAACCUUUGGCUAACAUCCAGGGGCCUGACGGUACCAGGAGAAGAAGCACCGGCUAACUCUGUGCCAGCCGCCGCCGUAAUAC